rnacentral:rRNA from 1 species
UACGGAGGGUGCGAGCGUUGUCCGGAAUCACUGGGCGUAAAGCGUGCGUAGGUGGUUGUUUAAGUCCGUUGUGAAAGCCCUGGGCUCAACCUGGGAAUUGCAGUGGAUACUGGGCAACUAGAGUGUGGUAGAGGAUGGCGGAAUUCCCGGUGUAGCAGUGAAAUGCGUAGAGAUCGGGAGGAACAUCUGUGGCGAAGGCGGCCAUCUGGACCAACACUGACACUGAGGCACGAAAGCGUGGGGAGCAAACAGG